CGAAGAAGAAUGGAUUUUCACUCACUUACUAAGCAGCAGCUCCAGGCCUGGCCCUGGGCUGGCUAGGAAGAGCUUUGCAAAGUGCAUCCUGGAUGCAUCUGAAGGAUGCCUGCUGAUAUUAUUCCAGCCAGAGAGCCAGAGCAUGGAGACUGAGGUAUAUGGAAUGCAGCUGCAGGAACUAUUGGGGGUGAGAUGUUGGCAAAAGCCAGCGGAAUUCUCCUGGCCAAGCCUAUUCCUGGCCAUGGGUGUUUCCUGACCUACAUUGAACAUUUUUUUUUAAAACCAGGAUUAUGUAUCAUGCUUACUAAAUGAAGAAAGUCAAGUCAAUAUUCUGAAAACAAACAAAAGUUACCAAUCACAAUGAAAGGAGGCGGCCAAGCUGGCUGGUGUCCUUUAGUGUGACCUCCCCUUGUGGUGGCGCAUUCUGAGUUCUUGGAUUCUAACAGUGCUCUAGAUGGACCUCAUCCUAACGUCCUUCUCAAGAAUAUCCAAAGUGUCUUAAAGCUCAGGCUACUGCUGAGCCUAAGAGAAAAACAAACAAGCAGGAGCUGUAGAAUGGAAUUGAGGAGC
ensembl:lncRNA